UAAUAAGGCAGUUAAGGGUUACCAUGAGGCGAUGGAACAAGGUCUCUUGUUGAAACUUCCUUUCACAACUCUCUUCGAGUAUAGUCAGGUACUGCAAAUGAUUGCCUCGUCUAUGAGGCCUCUUGGCAGCAAUGGGAUGUUCUAUCUUGCUGCUGCAGUGUCUGACUUUUAUGUGCCGUGGGAGAGCAUGGUAGAACAUAAGAUUCAGUCCAGAGCUGGUCCUCUGGAUAUGAGGCUUAUUGAAGCGCCAAAAAUGCUUGGGAUGGUGAGAAAAGAGUGGGAUCCCUUGGCAUUCUGCAUAUCAUUCAAGUUGGAGACAGAUCCGGAAAUUCUCCUAAAAAAAGCAAACAUGGCUCUGAAGAAGUCCCAGAUGGGUGCUGUUGUCGCAAAUCUAUUAGCAACAUACAAGCAAGAAGUUAUUGUCGUCACAGAGAGCGGGAACACCACUGUCCGCAAGCAGAGCGUGGACGAAGAUGUGGAGGAACGCCUGGUCGGGCUCGUUGUAGAGAGGCACUCAGGUUUCAUCGCAGAUGGGACUGCAUGAGCCCGGUGAAUGGUCUCUCUGAUAAUAAGAUAUAUCGAGCUAAUAAUCUUAUAUGUUUGUAAUGAUCAUCUUGUUGACUGUGAGAGGCACUCUGGUUUCAUCACAGAUGGGACCGCAUGAGACCGGUGAAUGGUCUCUCUGAUAUAAGAUUAUUCGCUCGAUGUAUCUCGGUUACUGAGGACAUAACCGUUGUGAUUAAUUAAGAUGUAUCGAAUAAAAUUUCUUUUAAGUUAUCUAUAUCUUGUAUACAAUUUAUGCUUGUAAUGACCAUCUUAUUGACUGUAAGUGUCCAAUAAAAAUGAGUUUGAG
rnacentral:misc_RNA from 1 species